AUGCUGCGUGCCGGUCUUAUAUAGACACACUCCCCGCCCCUCGCACACCAGCUGUUACUCAGCAAAACGCCGAGCCUUCUCUUCCGUGCUUUUCCUCCGAGGAGUGCUCCACCCGUACCUCUAAUUCCUAAAGGGGGACUGCGAGCAUCGACGGGGAAUUGGCGAGCGCUGACUUGUACAGGAGACUUCGCCUUUCCUUCAGGCCAUCCUAUCACCACGGAGAUCUGUUCCGCGCACAGAUGCAGAGAAUAUUCUGGCAGCAAUUAUUACCCUAUCCCUCGUGGGGACAUGAAGAGCCAAGCAGAAGGUGCUAUAACAGACACAUUUACAGACCAGGCUGGUUUCUUUCUGUAAAUAGGGUAGAGAGCCUUUCAAGAUAUUUGUUUUUCUGGUGAAAGCCCUCAAAUAACCAAAUCUAUUGAAUUCAAAUUUCCCCUUAAUAGCUAUUUCUCGGCUGCUUGUCCAUAGUUAUAUGGACUAUGCUUAUGUACCAUUUUACGAUGAGUUAUAAAAACAAAAUACUGUGGAUGCUGCAAGUCUAAAAUAAAAACAGAAAAUGCUAGAGAAACUCACCAUUGAGUCUGUGGAAAAAGAACAGAUUUAACAUAGAGUUCAAUGACUUCCUCAGAGAUUAAGUCAUAUUACAUCAAAGUUUUCACCCUGCUUCUCUCGCCACAGACGCAACCAGACCUUAUGAUUGGUUAGGCUGACCCAUGAAUUAUGUGGAAUAUUGGAGACUUGACUGGCUCAGGUUUCAGUAGAGGAACUCUACAACAGAGGCCUGACUGUGUCCAGGGAGCCUCAAUGGAUAGCAUCUUUCUCGAGAGUAUGGUGCUGGAAAAGCACAGCUGGUCAAGCAGCAUCCAAGGAGCAGGAGACUGAUGUUUCAGGCAAAAGUCCUUCAUCUGGAAUGAGGCUUCAGGAAUGAGGACAGCAUCUUUCUGCUGAAUCAGAACAUGGUGGGUUCAAGUUCCACUCCAGAGCCUUGAGGACAAAAAGUUGAUGUAAUCAUAAAGGGGUUCCACACUGUCAGAGGUGCUAUUUUUUGAAUGAGACAUUAAAAACCAAUCUGUCUCUAAAGAA